UACGGAGGGUGCAAACGUUGCUCGGAAUCAUUAGGCGUAAAGCGCACGUAGGCGGACUGUUAAGUCGGAUGUGAAAGCCCUCGGCUUAACCGAGGAAGUGCAUUCGAAACUGGCAGUCUUGAGUACAGAAGAGGGUCGCGGAAUUCCCGGUGUAGAGGUGAAAUUCGUAGAUAUCGGGAGGAACACCAGUGGCGAAGGCGGCGACCUGGGCUGAUACUGACGCUGAGGUGCGAAAGCGUGGGGAGCAAACAGG
rnacentral:rRNA from 1 species